UUGCCUUCCAAUGUAGAAGACCUGUUUGGAUUGUGAGGGGGUAUUGAUGCAUAAUCCAAUACUUGAUCCGAGGGGUGGCUUGAGCUGUCAGUAUGAUGUCAUCUUUGCAACUGAAUCCAUUAGAAAACAUAUCAUAUGAUGAAACCUUGAAACAUCCUGUGGAUGAGAAGGCAUUUUUAUUCUGAUGAUAUGCCUUGUUUUCUUCUGACAUUGUUUAGUAAUGCGAUUGUUUUGAAAUAGUAGUCAUUUACAUUAUAAAGGUAUAUGUACCGCAAUUGAAGCCAAUGAUGAUUAGCUUUAUGUUGGAAUUACCGUCAUAUAGCGAUAUUUUUGCGGCUUUCUGAGGUUUAUGAUCAAUAGCUUAAUGUCUUCUAUAUUUGUUUAUAUUGUUCAUUUCUCUAUCUUUAAUUAUGCCAGUGAGGAUUCUCAGACCAUAGGAGCGGCUCUAGUUUUGUUUCUUUGUUUCACCGGCCUUGCCGACCCUAUAUUUUGUUUCCCUAUAUUUUAAGAUCAACAUUACUAAUUAGCCAGAGGUUGACCUAAACCAUUAAAAAGGAAAAAACAGUAUAUGUUUCAGGUAGGUAACCUCUCCCUCUGUCUCAAAUCCAUGAUGCAAACAUGCAACUAACCUGCUACUAAUAGCAAAUGCUGCGUCGGUGGGGUGCAUGUAACUGAAACUGAAUCUGCCCACGCACCACCAGCCAAGAAGAGCGAGCGCCCUGGCGAAUCAUUUCACUACGUUGCACAAUUUGACAGCUCUGGGCGUUCUUGUCUGUCAUUCUCCUAGGCUUAUGAAGCACUUUGACAACACAUGCUCUUCUGAUUACAGUACACACAAGCCGGCCAAGCCAAGUACUAGUCUUCACAAAUUUGCACUUCGGAGUCGGCACCGCCGCCCGCAACCUCCACCGGCGCCGCCGCAGCCGUCGCCGACGGUGGACACCAACCUCCUGCGAGCUGGCGGGUACCCUACUACAGCUUCGGCCAUGACUUCCCUUCUCCGCCUUGCCGUCGAGAAGGCAGCGUGCACGUCCGUCCUGGCCUUUGCACCUGAGCUGUUCGAUGAAAUGCCAUGCGCGCUGGUGAUGUCCAAAAACGUUGUCACCUGGUGUACAGAGCUUCUCUUCCCAGGCUCAGGUUAUCAGCCUGGUUGAUGUUGGUGCUGUUCGGGACACCCGCGAGGUUCGUCCUCUUCAAGGUGCUGGACGAGCGGAAGAUCAGCGAAGUCGAGAACUUGCUUGAUUGUAUAACUGGUGGUUGCGCUGAAGGCUUUCAACAAGUUUGACGAUCCGCCGAAGAAACGCCAAAGAUGUCGGAAGUGACUUCAAAGAAGAGGAAACACCAAGAGGAAGAACCUACCAAGGAGGGAACUGAAGAGGAUGGCGAGUAGAAGAAAUCCAAGGAUAGCGAGGAGCCUCCAGCGGUUGAUGCCGACGCUCUCCAGAAGAAAAGAGGAAGAAAAAGCAUGCUGAAGAGCGCGCUGCACGGAAAUACAGCAGAAAUUUGGCGGUGUAAUGCUGUGCUAUCUUCUGAAAGUUUUAGCAUCGACGAACUCUGCAUUUCGAAACCUGCAAGUGCUCAGCACUCGCUGAAUCUUAUGUUGGUCUCGUCUAUAACAAUCUGAAAUGUUCAUUCUCCCGAGUAGUAAUAUAUCUAUCUGUUGUUAA